UCCCACUUGUGGUUUGGCAAGCCAUCCAGCCGACUACAAACCCACGUUUACUAUCAAGAUCUCCACUUAGGGAAGUGGGAAUCUUAUUUGCGGAACAUUGGGCAGAAGCUUUGACAUUGGCUGGUGGAGAAGGAGGAGGCAGAAUGUCUGCAUUGUUACACCAUACAGCUCAAACUUCAGAAGACUUUGGGUUAAGCAGUUACCAUUAGUCUGCAAAUGAUCGUGUUUUCACCUGAUCAUUAGAAACUAAUGAAACACCUUUUAAGUCUUAUGAAUUCAGGUUACACUGUUUUCCAGAUGCCUUGGCAGCUGGUACAGGU
rnacentral:lncRNA from 1 species